rnacentral:rRNA from 1 species
UGGGGAAUAUUGCACAAUGGGCGAAAGCCUGAUGCAGCAACGCCGCGUGAGGGACGACGGCCUUCGGGUUGUAAACCUCUUUUAGCAAGGAAGAAGCGAAAGUGACGGUACUUGCAGAAAAAGCGCCGGCUAACUACGUGCCAGCAGCCGCGGUAAUACGUAGGGCGCAAGCGUUAUCCGGAAUUAUUGGGCGUAAAGAGCUCGUAGGCGGUUUGUCGCGUCUGCUGUGAAAACCCGAGGCUCAACCUCGGGCCUGCAGUGGGUACGGGCAGACUAGAGUGCGGUAGGGGAGAUUGAAACUCCUGGUGUAGCGGUGGAAUGCGCAGAUAUCAGGAAGAACACCGAUGGCGAAGGCAGAUCUCUGGGCCGUAACUGACGCUGAGGAGCGAAAGGGUGGGGAGCAAACAGGCUUAGAUGACCCUGGUAGUCCA